AUGAAAACAUCUCAAACCAAUAUGUAUGUAGAACCUGAAAUUAUAUCUUGUGUAUCAAAACGACUAUACAACCUUCCAAAAAGCGAAGGAGGACCAUACAUAAUACAAUACUCCUUUCCAGCACUUUACGUCGCCCGCCUCCCAAUGCAUCCCUGGUCAUCUCCAUGGCCUACAGGAGACGCUUCACCUACAACAGAAUUUCGAGAUAGGAAUCCCUUCUUCACCUACAGCAAAAUUUCGAGAUCCCAACACUAUCAGGCUAAUACAAAGAUCCAUGAGAAGUGUGAAUGCACCAACGUCUCCGAGUAG
rnacentral:rRNA from 1 species